AGUGAACGCUGGCGGCAUGCCUUACACAUGCAAGUCGAACGGCAGCACGGGAGCAAUCCUGGUGGCGAGUGGCGAACGGGUGAGUAAUAUAUCGGAACGUGCCCAGUAGUGGGGGAUAACUGCUCGAAAGAGCAGCUAAUACCGCAUACGACCUGAGGGUGAAAGGGGGGGAUCGCAAGACCUCUCGCUAUUGGAGCGGCCGAUAUCAGAUUAGGUGGUUGGUGGGGUAAAGGCCUACCAAGGCAGGGAUCUGUAGUUGGUCUGAGAGGAGGACCAGCCACACUGGGACGGAGACACGGCCCAGACUCCUACGGAAGGGAGCAGUGGGGAAUUUUGGACAAUGGGCGCAAGCCUGAUCCAGCAAUGCCGCGUGCAGGAAGAAGGCCUUCGGGUUGUAAACUGCUUUUGUCAGGGAAGAAAUCCUCUAGGUUAAUACCCUUGGGGGGAUGACGGUACCUGAAGAAUAAGCACCGGCUAACUACGUGCCAGCCGCCGCGGUAAUAC
rnacentral:rRNA from 1 species